AGUUCAGAUUAUUGGAAGUGGGUUUACCAUGGCACCCAUUCCUUUCCUCUGUCCACAGGCAUAGGCCUAUGGUCCACACUACAUCACUCUUCAAUGUCUACUUCAGUAAUGCUGACACAAAGAAAGGGUGGCUUGUAGUGUGCAAAUCUAGCAUGUGUGUCAGGUAUUAAUCUGGCAUAGGUAACCAUUUAGUUGAGUAUGUUCAAGCAAGCUUUGCCAGCAUUUGACAGGAUGAACUCUGAUUAAUGAAUUAUGAUAAAUAAAAGGUGCUGAUUCCAAAUGGGAAUCAUGCUUGCAGCUUGAUUGCAAGGUAAUAUGGAAUGUGGUGAUGAUAAAUAUUCAAGCCACAAAGUGGUAGAUGCCACAGAGUGUGUUGCUGCCCUUCAUCUCAGUGCAGAAAAAGACAUUUAAUAUACCCUUGUGACAUGACCUUUGUGCCAGUGCCUAUGUGCCCAUGCUGUGUCCUUUAUCACUUAUGCAAGACAACUAUAUGUGUUAUGUUAGCAGUACUCUGCUACUAUCCAUGUUAUCCCAUUUCUGCUGUAUGUAUUACUGACUGGGCCACACCUGGGUGCUGCAUCAGGAUGCAACCACAACCUCAGCGGUACAUGCCGCCGCAGCCGGGGUACGGCCAGAUGCCAGGCCCGGCACCCAACUUCCAGCAGCCACCUGGCGGCGUGCGGCCGCCCGGUCCGCCCGGCGCCUUCCCGCCGCGCACGCCGAGCACGCCGGCCGGCCUGACCGGCGGCAUGGCCCACAUGAACAUGGGUCCGCCCGUGAUGUCACCAGC